AGGAUAAUAGUUAAAAUUAACAUUUAAUUUGCACUUAAAAAAUAUUGUUCAUCAAUUUAUCUUA
rnacentral:tRNA from 1 species